rnacentral:rRNA from 1 species
UACGGGGGGGGGCGAAGCGUUGUUCGGAAUUACUGGGCGUAAAGGGCUCGUAGGCGGCCAACUAAGUCCGACGUGAAAUCCCAAGGCUUAACCUUGGAACUGCGUCGGAUACUGGAUGGCUUGAAUUCGGGAGAGGGAUGCAGAAUUCCAGGUGUAGCGGUGAAAUGCGUAGAGAUCGGGAGGAACACCCGUGGCGAAGGCGGCCACCUGGGCCGACCCUGACGCUGAGGCGCGAAGGCGUGGGGAGCGAACGGG